GAAUGGAUAAUCUCUCUCUCUAUCUGUGUGUGUGUGAAGCUACAGCUAAGUACUUGGUUUCCUUUCUCUCACUUUCCUGGGCAGUGGUAGAGGGUUUUAAUGAGAGAGAAAGAGAUUAAAAAGAGUAAUGAUAAUUACUGAAAAAAGUUUAGACGAUUUCUUUGUUUGGGCAGCAAGAAUGUAAGGGAAAAGAAAGGAAACUUUUUGGAUCCAAGGAAUC
rnacentral:misc_RNA from 1 species